GAAUAUAAAAUUUUGCUUUAUGUCUUAUUCAAAACCAAAAUUAAUAAGAGACUUAGGCUACAUUUGGUUCGGAUAUAAAUAAGAACUGCUUAUUGCAGGAAUAAGUACAAGUUUAGAUAUAAACAUAAAUUAAACCAAUUUUGCGUUUGGAUAAAAAUUAUAUUGUUUCUUUGAAUAAGGUAAUUAAAUACUGUUGGGAUGGUUAUACUGGAACAAGAAAAAUAAGAGUUAUAAUUUUAAAUUAAAAUUAUUUUAUCUAAUUAAUUAACAUCAAAAUAUUACUUAAAAUUAAUUUAAUAAAUUUAAAAAUUUAUUAGGUGUGAAUAUUAUAUAAGAUAUUAAAUAUAUAUUAACUAAUUAAAUAAAUAUAAAAAAUAAUUUAACUUAUAAAUUAAUUAGUAAAUUAUUUUAGUUAGAUAACUAGUAAAAAAAUUAAUUAGAUUAAUAAAAAUAUUAAUAGUUGAUCAAUAUAAAUAUUAGUUUAUAGGUAAACAUAUUAAAUUAUUAAUAAAGGGAGAAAAGGGCUUAUUCCCUCAUUAAUUAUUUCCAAACCAAACACCGCCUUACAAUGUAACCAACUUUCACUUGCUCUCUACAAAAAAAUUUUAAAAAGAAUUAUAAAA
rnacentral:lncRNA from 1 species